AUUACUGUUAAGAUCUAUCAAAAUGUACCGAGACAGCUCUCCUUGCUGAAAUCUGAUGAACAAAAAGGCAAGCAACGUCCAGGAAGACUGUAAAAGAAUGGAUCAAAUUAAGAGCAAGAACAAAUGCAACCAAGAGAUGGGGUUUCAGCACAUUAGCCAGUAUCGUCUCGAUCUCUUCACCUCGUGAUCCGCCCACCUCGGCCUCCCCAAGUGCUGGGAUUACAGGCGUGAGCCACUGCGUUUUGCCAGUUCUCUUCCUUUAUUAAAACUACAUCAGAUGGUCUCCAUCAAUGACACAGUAAACUGGAAAGCUAGGAACAGAAGUGGAGUUGGGGACCAGCCUGUUUCCCACUUUGUGAUAUGCUGUUUAUCCUGAGAAAUUGACAAACAUCCAACUUCAGCCUCAGAUUGAGAAACUUUUAGAGUGGCCAUUCCUCCCGAAUUUUCAACUCACGUCCACCUAAUUGCUGCUCACCUUCCCAGGGUCUGUCCAGUCAGGAACAGUUUCAGAAUGUGGCUUUUUCAUCCCAGCUGCUUCCACAAUUCUAGGGCCCUUUUUCCUCUUCAGAAGAUUGACAACUGGACAUCUAUUGCCCAUUUGAAAAGAACCUACCUACAAUGGCCUUUGACCAAGCAGGCCUGCAUUCAGAACUAAAUAGUCAACGAAAGGGCACAUUUUCCAACCUCAACCCAGCUAGCUAAGAGUUUCCCAUGAUACCUUGAAGAGCAUCACUUUGCCACAUCCUCUACCCUUCUCUGUAUCUAUGGGCUAGCCUGGGUUGAAACUGCUAAAAUAAAAGACAAAGGAAUGCUUCCUCAU
rnacentral:lncRNA from 1 species